UACGGGGGAGCAAGCGUUGUUCGGAUUUACUGGGCGUAAAGGGCGCGUAGGCGGUCAGCACAAGUCAGUUGUGAAAUCUCCGGGCUUAACUCGGAAAGGUCAACUGAUACUGUGCGACUAGAGUGCAGAAGGGGCAACUGGAAUUCUCGGUGUAGCGGUGAAAUGCGUAGAUAUCGAGAGGAACACCUGCGGCGAAGGCGGGUUGCUGGGCUGACACUGACGCUGAGGCGCGAAAGCCAGGGGAGCGAACGGG
rnacentral:rRNA from 1 species